GAUGAACGCUAGCGGCAGGCUUAGUACAUGCAAGUCGAGGGACAGCACAGGUAGCAAUACUGGGUGGUAACCGGCAAACGGGUGCGGAACACGUACACAACCUUCCUUUAAGUGGGGGACAGCCCAGAGAAAUUUGGAUUAAUACCCCGUAAUAUAGUUGAAUGGCAUCAUUUGAUUAUUAUAGCUACGGCGCUUAAUUAUGGGUGUGCGGCUGAUUAGAUAGUUGGCGGGGUAACGGCCCACCAAGUCUACGAUCAGUAGCUGAUGUGAGAGCAUGAUCAGCCACACGGGCACUGAGACACGGGCCCGACUCCUACGGGAGGCAGCAGUAAGGAAUAUUGGUCAAUGAACGCAAGUCUGAACCAGCCAUGCCGCGUGAAGGAUUAAGGUCCUCUGGAUUGUAAACUUCUUUUAUUUGGGACGAAAAAGGGCCUUUCUAGGUCAACUGACGGUACCAGAUGAAUAAGCACCGGCUAACUCCGUGCCAGCCGCCGCCGUAAGAC
rnacentral:rRNA from 1 species